rnacentral:lncRNA from 1 species
GGAAUUUCCACAAUCCUAGUAUUCAUAGGGAUUUUCUGCUAUGUGACUUUAUGGAUAUAUUCCCAAUGAAGUUGGGAAACCAACUAAUUAUAAACUUGUAUCACACUGAGAAAGUCUGCUCAAAUGUGGACUACUACAUAUAUCUUAAUUGUUCUGGGGGUGGGGAGACAUUGCUUCUUUCAAUAUCCUUGUGCUCACAUGGCUUGUAUCCAUUGUGACACAGGAUAUAGCUGUUAAAAUAACAAAUGAAAUAUUUCCACAUUGCAUCAUUCAUACAGUUUGAUUUUUUGUUCAUCAUAGACAUAUGGUAUAAGAAUUAAGUUUUCUCUUCAAAAACAUUCUUGACUCUCAUAAACUGUCCCUCUCACUUAAACUUAACAAUGUUACUAUAUGAGUAAUCAGCUUUACUAUGAUAUAUUUGCCUAUUAGAAACAUAAACUUAUCACCUACUCUGUUUCUCUCUCU